UUUCUCCAUUCAUCCUCCGCUAAAUGUCCAUCAAUUAGGUUAAAAAAAGAAAAAAGAAUCUCCAUCAAUUAGGCAAUAGGCUAGCCCUAUUGACAAGUUUUUUGAUAUUUUCAUCUCCCUUUCAUUUUUCAUUAGUGUUUCAAUUUCUUCAAUUCCUUGCUUUAGUUUCGUGGAAACCUCGGGAAAUUUAUAGCUCCCCAAACUCUUACACACAGCGGCAGAUUUCUACGGUAUGGAAAGAUUGAGCCGCCGAAGGAGCUGAUGGAAAGAAUGGUUGUCGCGGAGAAAUCUGUCAAAGAAGAAAUGCAAGAUAUGAAGGAAGAAGUGCAGGAACUGGAACAAUUGCAACAUCUUGUUAAUGUAUUGGUGCAACCAACCUUGGACUGAACAUUUAGGAUAUAGCAAGGUGUGUCGAAUCUAUCCUACCUUCUCCGGUUGAUGCAAGUAGGGCACGGGCUAUGAGAAGCCACAAUCUUCAACAUUUCUCUGGUCAACUUAUGGUCUGAUUUAUGAAAAGGCGCCAGAGAAUUUUAACACUAUCUGAACAAGGAAGAUAGGUUAGUGUUUCAAGCACCCGGGGUGUGAUAGAGUGGUCAAUGACAUGGGUGAAAACCAUGAGGUUUCAAUUUCGGUGGAGGCAGAUGAUUUCUUCCCAUCAAUACAAGCCUUGGUAGAUAGAGUUAUCUUAUACUUAUUGCUGGUGGGAGGUGGUAGGUAUUUAGUGGAAUUAGUCGAGGUGCGUGUAAGCUGGCCUGAACACCAUGAUUAUAAAAAAAAGAGAGGUUAGUGUUUCAUUCUGAAACUUAUUAUCCAACUCACAAACUCUAUGCAAAUAUUUUUGAACUCAACAAGUGUGGAAGACUUUAUCCAACUCAAAUAGACUAUGCAAAGAUACUCUCAUUCUGACAUUUACAUCCUUAGCGGGUUAUUUUAUGUACUUUUCUUUUGGAUUGGAAAGAAAGUUGAAUGCUUCACUGCUUUAUUAGUGUUUCACUUUUACUUUGUUCUAGAAUGUAAAAUGUAUGUGAUAUGAAUGCAGAACAAUUCUAGUUAUUUCACGCCUGUGGGCACUAUAAUUCCAGGUACACUUCCCUUGCAUGUGUUAAGUCUUUGUUGACAUAUGUCAUGAGAUUUGCAUAGUGGUUCUUGACUUAUCGUCGUCUGGCCUUUUUUCCCAAAGUUCUGCUUGUGUUAGUAUUUUUAUAUCAAAGCUAGUAGCUGCUCCAAUUGAGUCAGUUACCGUUAUCAUACCUAUUUUUCGGAAAUGUGUUAUCAUAUUUAACAUUGUUUUAAGAACUUGUAUAUCAGUUGUGAACUUUUCUUACUAUUUUCAUUUUGGCCAAACCCACAAGCGGCCCCCUAAAUGUGACUUCACUUUUCAUUUUGACACUUUUACUUCGACCUUUUUCAUUUUGACACUCAAACUCAUCCUCUCAUGUGCCACUUAAUCACAAAACGCUGACUUGUCACAUUGUGUGAUUUGCACCUCUUUUGAGCGCGUGGAAAGCUGAAAUUUUUUUGCUUUUUAAGUUUUUAUCUUUCUGCUUCCUCCUUCCAUCUCCACUACCAAUUCCGCCGCCAACACCACCAACACCACUUUUUCCACAGAAGAAAAAGUUAUGGUUGUUUGGUGUGUCCUUGUUUUCUUCUUAUUAUUCUUCAGAAGGCCUUCUACAAACCCUUGCGAAGGAGGCAAGUACCAGGAAAUAGAGACAAACAUUUGAGAGUGUAUGCAUAUCAAAAUCUCAUUUUAAUUCAGACAAAUUUUCUGUGCAGUCAUCGUUGUAUAGUUUUGCCAAAAGCUUACAAUGUUUCACCAUGUCAAGUCUGGUAUCCUUCCCAAUUUUGAUGCCUCAGAUAUUCCGAACGAUCAUGCUUUAGGUUAUACUAAAACAUAAUUCAGUACAAAAUUUUGAGAUCUUAUUGUAUGCGGCCUUAAGGUAAAUUUUGAAAUUUUUUGCUUUUUAAUUUUUUAUCUUUCUGCUUCCUCCAGUACCAAUUCCGUCGCCAACACCACCAGUGCACUUCUGCAAUCUAUUCUUUCUAAGCCGUCAACGGCGACUGAGAUCCAGAGAAUUGCCGUCAAAUACUCCGUAAAAUCUCCAUCCUUCGCCAGAAGAAUUCUCCUUACAUCAUCAAGAGUUAAACUGAUUUUUGGUUAACUCUUAUGCGAGCAAAAUCAUGUGGGUGCAAGUUAAUUAGAACAUUAUAGUGAGUUAUUCUUUUGGUUAUAGAGUUAAACUCAUUUUAAUACUAUACUUAGAUUUUAAUGCUAUUAAAGCCAAUGAAGAUUUUAGUGGUGAGAGCUCCGGUGAUUGUGGGAAGAUGAUGAUGGAACUAGAGGGUGGGGUGGACGGAGAAGAUGACGGAGGGGCUGAUUGAAAAUAGUUCUUUUUCUUUUCUUUUUUUGCUCAAAAUCCAUUUUAUAAUUAUUUGGCAAAAAAAAUCACAUGUCAUUUUUCCAUUGGUUACUUUGCCACAUGAGCCGUUUGUGAACUACACUCUCUUCAUAUUUUUGACCGAUGAACAUUUUGUGCUUAAGUGGCACAUGAGAGAAUGAGUUGGAAUUUCAAAAUGAAAAAGGUCUAAAUAAAAGUGUCAAAAUAAAAAGUGAAGCCAACUUUAGGGGUGCAUAUGGGUUUGGCCUUUUCAUUUUUAUACUUCUUUAUGGGCUUGAGUUGUUACUUGACUUAGUUACAGUAUUCAUACCUAUUUUCAGAAAUUUGUUUAAAUGAGUUCUUCAUAUUCAAUACAGUAUUAUUUUACAAACUUGUAUGUAAGUUGUAACUUUGAAUUAACAAGCAACUUUAUACCAUAUUGCAUAAAAGCUCUUUUCUAAUCAGGAUUAAUCUCAUUACUAAGCUCAUUACUAAGCUCUUUCCAGAUGGGAGCCAUAUUGUUGAUUCAGCGUAGUACACUAAAUAUUAACCAUAUUACAGAUUCCAAAAUGAUAUUGUAUACUUAUAUUCUUUUUAAUUAUUAAUUUUAUUUUG